GGUAGCUCAGUGGUAGAGUGCUUGCCUUGCAUGUAUGAGGCUCUGGGUUCAAUUCCUAAGUACCA
rnacentral:tRNA from 1 species